rnacentral:rRNA from 1 species
CACGUAGGGGGCAAGCGUUGUCCGGAUUUAUUGGGCGUAAAGAGCUCGUAGGCGGUCUGUCGCGUCUGCUGUGAAAACUCAGGGCUUAACCCUGAGCUUGCAGUGGGUACGGGCAGACUAGAGUGCGGUAGGGGAGACUGGAAUUCCUGGUGUAGCGGUGAAAUGCGCAGAUAUCAGGAGGAACACCGGUGGCGAAGGCGGGUCUCUGGGCCGUAACUGACGCUGAGGAGCGAAAGCAUGGGGAGCGAACAGG